GAUGAACGCUGGCGGCGUGCCUAACACAUGCAAGUCGAGCGAGGGUUUGCUCAGUAUUGAGUAUUCUAAAACUAGAAUGUUCAAUUCUGAGCAAAACCAAGCGGCGGACGGGUGAGUAACGCGUGGGUAACCUGCCCUAUACACAUGGAUAACAUACUGAAAAGUUUACUAAUACAUGAUAAUAUAUAUUUGCGGCAUCGCAGAUAUAUCAAAGUGUUAGCGGUAUAGGAUGGACCCGCGUCUGAUUAGCUAGUUGGUGAGAUAACUGCCCACCAAGGCGACGAUCAGUAGCCGACCUGAGAGGGUGAUCGGCCACAUUGGAACUGAGACACGGUCCAAACUCCUACGGGAGGCAGCAGUGGGGAAUAUUGCACAAUGGGCGAAAGCCUGAUGCAGCAACGCCGCGUGAACGAUGAAGGUCUUCGGAUCGUAAAGUUCUGUUGCAGGGGAAGAUAAUGACGGUACCCUGUGAGGAAGCCCCGGCUAACUACGUGCCAGCAGCCGCGGUAAUACGUAGGGGGCUAGCGUUAUCCGGAUUUACUGGGCGUAAAGGGUGCGUAGGUGGUCCUUCAAGUCGGUGGUUAAAGGCUACGGCUCAACCGUAGUAAGCCGCCGAAACUGGAGGACUUGAGUGCAGGAGAGGAAAGUGGAAUUCCCAGUGUAGCGGUGAAAUGCGUAGAUAUUGGGAGGAACACCAGUAGCGAAGGCGGCCUUCUGGACUGCAACUGACACUGAGGCACGAAAGCGUGGGUAGCAAACAGG
rnacentral:rRNA from 1 species